rnacentral:misc_RNA from 1 species
UUUCCGUAGGUGAACCUGCGGAAGGAUCAUUACUGAGUGAGGGCCCUCUGGGUCCAACCUCCCAUCCGUGUUUAUUAUACCUUGUUGCUUCGGUGAGCCCGCCUCACGGCCGCCGGGGGGCAUCUGCCCCGGGCCCGCGCCCACCGAAGACACCUAGAACUCUGUAUGAAGAUUGCAGUCUGAGCAAAAACUAAAUAAGUUAAAACUUUCAACAACGGAUCUCUUGGUUCCG